CAGAGGAGUUCAUAGGUGCUAUUCGGAAUCCUUGGGAUGUCCUUUCAAUCGAAUAGAGCAGUUCAUAGACUUCCCCAGAGUCAAGAUGUGAUGAACCAGAGCAACCAAUCAGCUUCACUGCAGGUGCUCAACCCACCACCCUCUCACUGUUCUCCCUCCACAAGUAACCACAUCCUCUUCUCCUGUUCAACUACUGUGCCACCCCACUAAAAAUGACUGUACAUAUACCCCUGUGCCCAUCUCAGUGUAACAUGAUCCAUCCAAGGCCUCAGCUGGAUGCCUGAAAUGUAAGCAAGAUGCUAUAGUGUGUGUGUGUGUGUGUGUGUUUCCAAGUAAAGACUUGAAGAUGGCAAAGGAAAUAGUGAUGAGAGUGAGAGCAUACAGUAUGGAAAUAAAGACCCCUUGGGAUCUAAAAUGAG
ensembl:lncRNA